CUUUAGCCAAAAUGGCGGCUCGAUCGCGAAGUCAUUCUCGGACGUCAAUUUUAUAAUAAGUUCCAGACUUUACUGUAAUAGUUUCAGUUGGCAGGUUUCAGUUCGUUUGAGCUGAUAAACCUUCAAUGUACAGUAUAUAUAGUUCAGUUGUACUGUAAUACAUGCAUCUACAUACACCAAUUGAAAAAUGAAAUAUAAAGUCUUAAAAGAUCAAAGAGGUAAGAUAAAACAGUCUUAAUAUAUAUAUAUAUAUAUAUAUAUAUAUAUAUAUAUAUAUAUAUAUAUAUAUAUAUAUAUAUAUAUAUAUAUAUAUAUAUAUAUAUAUAUAGUGUUUAAUUAAGGCCAUGAGGCAAUUUUUGGUGCAACUUCCAAUGCAACUUCUGGCAUAUAUAGCAAUGUUAUGUAAAACGUAAUCAGAGUAAAUUUAAGGUCGCUGAAUCUCAGUUAAUACUUUUUAUGUGAUGUUAUUAUAAAUAUACUGUACAUCAAUCUAUGUGGCAGAAGUUGCAACAAAAAUUGCCUCGUGUAAGAUUGCUUAAAAUGGCUAUAGCACAUUUUAAUACUUAGCAGUUUCAAUCAUCAUCUCCGAUCAUAAUUGUAUUGAGCUUGUUCACAAAGGUUAUCACAGAAGUCAGUAGCUUCUUGCUGUUGUUUAUGUUUAUGUUUAGUAGCUUUAGUACACACGACUACCUGGGUACUGUCCAUAUAAGUACAUAAUUUGUAGCCACGAAUGCCACAGCUACAUCUACCAGCCAUCUUCAGAAGAUAUAAAGGACCAUGGUUUCGGCAACAACGGCCAUCAAUCUCGUUGCAGUCGUUGCAGUUUUCAAUGUUUCUCUUUACCAGAAUUUGGGAGGUUACCAUGCAUAUUACAAGCUGACAGCAUCCUCAAAGCUUUCAUCCUUAUGCCAAAAUAAGAAAUGUAAUGAGAUUAUACACAUUUAAUUUUUAUUUACAGCAUGCCUGGCACAAGCAUGCAGUAUAUAUAAGGCCAAAUUAAUUAAAUAAAAACUUGGCAUCACCGCCCGCCUCUCGAUUUCUGCUGCCUCUUUUUUAUGUAAAUCUCUUCGUUUUACAGCUUAAACAGUUUAAUAUUUGAAUUUUUUUUCAUGCUCAGACCUUCGCGCUAUAUACUGAUCGAUAGGAGCGUGUGGGCUUGGGUAUACAGAAUUCUUAUAGUAAAAUGGCGCCCUUCGCAACAUCAGUACAAAGAAUUUCACCGAUAUGGUAGAAAAACCGCCCCCAUCCCCCUUUAAAAAUUUAAAAAUGAGUAAAAAUUUAAAAAACACUGCCCGCCCGCCUCUGAAAAUUUGUGAGAAUGUGACGCUAACCAAAUAUUUUUUUCAUUUGGCCUAAGCACAGGUUCGCAGAAGCUAGCUUCACCAUUCCCCCAAUGGGCAAACCCAUGUAGUAAUUGUUUCUUACUGAGUUAAUACUUAAUGAAUUAAUAUAAGUAAAAAUAUAUAUAAUUUAUAUACAAGUACAUUUUAGUUCAUGAAAUGCUAAAAACUCCUGAAUGCUAAAAUAUAUCUUUCAUUUGCUACCGGUAUACACAGUAUUUGACUAUGCAAAAUAGAAAAUUGUCAAUAUUUAUACAGAAGGUAUAUGUCCAUGCAUCUCCCCUUUCAUGAGCAUGCAGCUUGUUUGACCAUGACACUCAAAAGUGGUGCUGGUAAAAGGUGGCAAGUACCAGCCUUACAAAACAACAGUAAACUGCAUCAGCAUAUAUUUGUUCCCGCUGAUAGAUGGCUUUAAGAUGUGCCAGCUGAGUGAGCUAUUGGUCAAAGGCGGCAAGUACCAGCCUUACACAAAAGCUGAAAACAGCGCUACUAAAUAAAGAUCAAAAUUCAAAACAAACUGUAUUGUUGUUUAAGUUCAUUUCCUUUGCUGUUUUAACUCGCAUGUUCAUUUUUGUUUAAUAUAAGUAAAAAUAUAUAUAAAGUAUUAUGCAAGUACAUUUUGGUUCAUGCAAUAUGCUAAAAAGUGCUAAAUAUCAUAUAGAUAGAGCAAAAUAUACUGUAUGUAUAUAUAUAUAUAUAUAUAAUGCUAACCUACUGUUUCUUUCAUUUGCUAUAUCUUUGACCAUGCAAAAUAGAAAAUUGUCAAUACAGAAGGUAUACAUUCAUGCAUCUCCCCUUUCAUGAGUGGCUUGUUUGACCAUGCCACUCAAAAGAAGUGCUGGUAAAAGGCAGCAAGUACCAGCCUUACACAACAACAGUCAACUGCAUCAGCAUGAAUGUAUACAAGCUUUGAAUUAUGUCAUAGCAGUUCCCACUGACAGGUGGCUCUAAGAUGUGCCACCUGAGUGAGCUAUUGGUCAAAGGCGGCAAGUACCAGCCUUACACAAAAGCUGAAACAAGCACUACUAAGAUCAAAAUUCAAAACAAACUGUAUUGUUAUUUAAGUUCAUUACCUUUGCUGUUUUAACUCACAAGUUCAUUUUGUCUAAUAUAAGUAAAAUUGUAAUUAUUGUAAUAAAUUGUAAUAUAUAUAAUUUAUAUACGAGUACAUUUUGGUUCAUGAAAUGCUAAAAAGUGCUAUUUUUAAAUUAUCAUAUAGAUAGAGGAAAAUAUACUGCAUGCAUGUGUAUAUACUAACCUACUGUUUCUUUCAUUUGCUAUAUAUUUGACCAUGUUGCAAAAUAGAAAAUUGUCAAUAUAGAAGGUAUACAUUCAUGCAUCUCCCCUUUCAUGAGCGGCUUGUUUGACCAUGCCACUCAAAAGAAGUGCUGGUAAAAGGCAGCAAGUACCAGCCUUACACAACAACAGUAAACUGCAUCAGCAUGAAUGUAUACAAGCUUUGAAUUAUGUCAUAGCAGUUCCCACUGACAGGCGGCUCUAAGAUGUGCCACCUGAGUGAGCUAUUGGUCAAAGGCGGCAAGUACCAGCCUUACACAAAAGCUGAAAACAGCACUACUAAGAUCAAAAUUCAAAACAAACUGUAUUGUUAUUUAAGUUCAUUACAUUUGCUGUUUUAACUCACAAGUUCAUUUUGUCUAAUAUAAGUAAAAUUGUAAUUAUUUAAUAUACCGUAUAAAAUUUAUAUACGAGUACAUUUUGGUUCAUGAAAUGCUAAAAAGUGCUAUUUUUAUAUUAUCAUAUAGAUAGAGGAAAAUAUACUGCAUGCAUAUGUAUAUACUAACCUACUGUUUCUUUCAUUUGCUAUAUAUUUGACCAUGAUGCAAAACAGAAAAUUGUCAAUACAGAAGGUAUACAUUCAUGCAUCUCCCCUUUCAUGAGCGGCUUGUUUGACCAUGCCACUCAAAAGAAGUGCUGGUAAAAGGCGGCAAGUACCAGCCUUACACAACAACAGUAAACUGCAUCAGCAUGAAUGUAUACAAGCUUUGAAUUAUGUCAUAGCAGUUCCCACUGACAGGUGGCUCUAAGAUUUGCCACCUGAGUGAGCUAUUGGUCAAAGGCAGCAAGUACCAGCCUUACACAAAAGCUGAAAACAGCACUACUAAGAUCAAAAUUCAAAACAAACUGUAUUGUUAUUUAAGUUCAUUACCUUUGCUGUUUUAACUCACAAGUUCAUUUUGUCUAAUAUAAGUAAAAUUGUAAUUAUUUAAUAUACCGUAUAUAAUUUAUAUACAAGUACAUUUUGGUUCAUGAAAUGCUAAAAAGUGCUAUUUUUAAAUUAUCAUAUAGAUAGAGGAAAAUAUACUGCAUGCAUAUGUAUAUACUAACCUACUGUUUCUUUCAUUUGCUAUAUAUUUGACCAUGAUGCAAAAUAGAAAAUUGUCAAUACAGAAGGUAUACAUUCAUGCAUCUCCCCUUUCAUGAGCGGCUUGUUUGACCAUGCCACUCAAAAGAAGUGCUGGUAAAAGGCGGCAAGUACCAGCCUUACACAACAACAGUAAACUGCAUCAGCAUGAAUGUAUACAAGCUUUGAAUUAUGUCAUAGCAGUUCCCACUGACAGGUGGCUCUAAGAUGUGCCACCUGAGUGAGCUAUUGGUCAAAGGCGGCAAGUACCAGCCUUACACAAAAGCUGAAAACAGCACUACUAAGAUCAAAAUUCAAAACAAACUGUGUUUAAGUUCAUUACUAUUGCUGUUUUAACCCACAAGUUCAUUUCUAUUAAUAAAUCCUACUGUUUCCUCCUUUACUGUAUUUCGACUAUGCAAAGUUAAAAAUCAUGCACCCCCCCCCCAUCUGAGUCAAAGAUUUCAUGUAGAAAACUGUGGAAAAGAGACUUUCAGAGUCAACUUUUAAGGCCAACCAUACCUCUCAUACAUGUUACAGUAGAUAUAGUAGCUGCUGCGUGAUCAUUGGAUCACCGUUCUGCAUAACCUGCUAUAUUAUUGACUUAAUUCCAGCUCAGACAAGCUGUUUUAAAAAUAUGAAAGUAAAACCAACCUUGAUCGUUGAGCCAGGCUUGUCCAUCAAUCAUAUUGUCUAAAAAAUCAGUGAAUGUCAUCUUAAUUAUUCUUUUCAUAUUUCCCUUUAGUUUCUGAAUGGCGAAUAACAGUUUUACCAUGCAUUCGUAAUAGGUGUCAAGUUUUAGCGUUACAAUAUAAAGCCAACAUAGUAUAGGAUGAAUAUUAUUGCCUUCCUAUCUGCAUAUAAUUUGGAAUUUAGCCGUUGGCGAGCAAUUGAAAAUAAUUUUCACAUUGGGGAACAAUAGCUACUCACAUAUUGUCACAUGCAACCCUUUGUUAUAUAAUAAACGUUAUAAACCUGGGCAUAAUAUUUACACUCAGUCUUUCUGAUCAAUCUGAUGUCUGGCAAUGAUCAUAUUACUAACAGCAAAUUUCGCACGAAUGGUGACCGGCAACAUACUGUAUUCAAAAGAAGGAUUUUACGCGCAAACACCAUAAUCAAUGCUGUACAGUUAAAUAGCACCUAGCGUUUACAUUAUUUAAUAGAUUGGGUCACAGUGCGGUGAACAUAUACUGAAAAUCUGCAGAAGAUAGUGCCGGUGUCCCAGGAUUUUCGCCCCCCCCCCUGGGGGGCGAAAAUCCUAGGAAAUUCGCCCCCCUUUAGGAAAUUCGCCCCCCUUUAGAAACUUCACCUUUUCUUUAGGAUUUUUGUCCUCCGUUCAGAAGUUCGACCUUCCUAACAGUUGCAUGGGAUAAUUAUUACAUGGCUUUAGUCAUUUGAAAUCAGUAUCAAUUCAAAAUUGUUAAGACAGAGCUUGAAAUAACAACCGAUCAAUGAUCGGCAUGGAAUUGAUUAUGAUCCGCGGAAAAGCAGGGUUUCGGUUUCCAACCUGAAAAAAUCAGGGAAAGUCAUGAUCGAGAACUUUGGGAACGUUAUUUCAAGCCCUGUAAGAAUACAAAUUUACAAUUACAUGUAUCGAAAGGGCUUACACAGUUCACAGUUAAUAGACUAAGACUUAUGACGCUUCACAGCACACCAUGCAUAUUUUGCAUUUUCAGUGUUAAUCGUUAAACUCAUUGUUAAAAAGUAAUCACCGUGGUGGUUAUUGUCAUUAUUGGUAUUGUUUUGCAUCCACAUUUUGUCGUUAUCGGAAAAUGUAUGGCUUACAAGUUGUCACUAUUUUUUACUUGCAUUAUUUCAAUAUAGUUUGUAAAUUUCAGAAGCGAAGGUAGAACUUGCCAAUAAGCAAUACUCCAAUAAUAUACGUUCAAAAAAGACAAAAAAGCUUUUAGUUUUGCAGAGUUUAAGGCAUUGAUAAAAUCAAAGUAUCAUGAAACAUGAAAUUAUUUGAAUAAACCACACCACAUAUAUAUAAUGCAAUUUUCUUUGCGGAAGUUAAAAAUCAAGAUUACAUCACUGACACUGACAUGGAAAGUUGACGAUUCAAUGGACAAUAGUCAAUACGCUUCCCAACAAAUUCCAUAGAUUUUUUAUUAAUCCUAUAGUUUAUUGUUAGCAUGGAAGUGAUUAAUGUGGCGGCUAUUGUUAACAUUGGUAUUGAUAAAAUUUGCAAGCGAUUGUUUUUAUAAUAUGUUAUGUGAAUGUAACUGCCAGAAGAAUACGACAACAUGAUUUUAUGAGAUCUCUGUGGGCAAUGGUUCCACUUUAGAUGUGUAGAAUAUGACACUAGUCUAAGUACCUCAAAUGAGUGGUUAUGCAGACUGUGCACACCACCAGCUGCUAAGAAGCCUAAAAUGUGUAUGUGAUUUUGUCUCCUUGUAAUAAAUAAAUAAAUCACACAAUAAAUCUUUUCAACUUGCAAUCGUUUUGUUUUUAGAUCAAAAAUUCAAAAUUUAUAUGGGGGGCGAAAUUCCUAAAGGGGGGCGAUAUUCCUAGGAGAUUCGCCCCCUGGGGGGCGAUAUUCCUAGGAGAUUCGCCCCGGGGGGGGCGAAUAUCCUAGGAAUAUCGCCCCCCUUUUGAGAGGGGGGGCGAAUCUCCUGGGGGGGCGAAUCUCCUGUGACACCGGUACAUAUGACACACCGGAGGCGUUUCAAAAACGCGGCGCGAUUUUUGAAUUUUCAAAGUAAAUGAAACCGCUAACGAAAGGAACGUUUAAAAUAUAUAUACCAAAUGGCUCAAUAUGUUAGAGCGCAAUAUUUGAAAAACUUAAAUCCGGAUCAAAGUUACAUAUAUGUCAAUGAGAAUCGAAAUGAAUGAAUGCCGAAUUGCGUCGUCUGUCUGCUCGCGGCACAAUAUGCCAAUCGUAGAACAUACCUUUAAAACUUUCACAGUAGUCGGCAAAGUCAACUUUGAUCAACCACUCUCGAACGUCUUUCUUUAACAUCUUCAAUAAAUAAAUUCUUGUUGUGUUCAACAAAAAUUAGAUGACUCGAGCGCCUUUACAGUGAACACCAGAGUGAACACAUUGACUGACCGUGGACCGACAGAUUGACAGAAUAUAGGAUGCAAUUUGACUAUGCCGCGUUUACAGCCCGCAUGGAUUUCUCCGUCGAUGAUUGGUUAAUGGCUGGAAUGACGUUAGUUAUACUAUAAUUAGGAAGUUUGUAACAAAGACCCACAUCCUGUAUAACACUUCUCGCUAGACGAUUUAUGAAAAGGGAAAAGUGUGACAGGACGUGAGUGUAUUGCUAGAGGAUUAACACGAAAAGAGCAAAAUAUUUUGCUAGAUUUAAAACCUGAAUCAGUCUAAACGAUUAUAAUAUUAUCUAUUAAGAAUUAAUUAAAGUAAAAUUGCCAUUUAUUAUUCAACUUUCUGUUGCAGGACUUGGGUUAAGUCAAGAUUUUUGGCAGUGGCUAUUCUGAAGGUUGUGUCAUUAUUACUAGUCAACCUUUGGUAAAAUAAGUAAAGUUUUACUUGCGAUGGGAAA
rnacentral:lncRNA from 1 species